UGACUAUUACACAAAAAUAGAAACGUGUAAUAGACUUGAAAGCUCUGUACUGAAAAAGCAGAAUUGAGAAUGCAAUUGAAUGUUUUCAAAAGUUAAGAAAUGUUAUGUAUAUGGCAGUCCAAACAGUUUUAAUCAUUAUUUGCUUACUUUUUGAUAGUACUUUUAUGUACUUUUUGUGUGUAAAUGAUGGACUUCUUCUCUACUUAUGUUCUCUUUGUAGCAGUCACCAUUUACAUGAGUGUUGAAUUUGUUCAAAGAUGUCAAUGCAGCUGAUUACUUAACAUUACUUUUCCAUCAUCUCCCAAAGGAAAAGAAAACAACAAAAAUCAGCAGGAACAAACUAACUCAUGAAUAUGGAAGUUCUUAGAUUUUCACUAGCUACAGAAGAAUAUACAAGAAGGAAGUCAGAAAAGCCAUUCUCUGCACUCAAUCAUUAAGAAAAAAAGUAAUUAUCGGAAAGAAAUAAUGCAUUCUUUACUGAAUUUCAAGUUAAUGUUUUAUAGAAUUGCUGGAAUUAGCUGGAAUAAAUUCACUGUCCAGUCUCCUCCGGAAAGCCUGUCUGCUUCUUUCAGCUCAAGUGACUAUCCAUUGCUAGAUGGUUUCCAUUAUGACUCCAGAAAUGACAUGUACACAGACAAGCCAACAAUAUGCCUCAGUGGCAAGGAAGGCUAAUGGUAUCCUGCCUGGGCCGCAUUAAGAAGAGCAUUGCCAGAAGUCAAGGCAAGGAAUCCUCCCCAUCUGCUCGGACCUGGUGAGGUCUCUGUAGCAAUAACUGUGUCCAGUUCUGGGCCUCUCAGUACAAGAGAGGAGUGGAGCUCCUGGAGUUAGUCCAUCCAAGGGCUACUAAAAUUGUUACAAGACUGGUGUAUAUCUCAGGUGAAGAAAGGCCAAGGGAGUUGUCCCCAUUCCGCCUGGAGAAGAGAAGGCUCAGGAGGAGCUGAUCUAUAUCUGAAUAUCUGAAGGGAGGAUUUCAAGAUGUUGGGGCCAGACUUUUCACAAUGGUGCCCAGAAACAGAAUGAGAAGUAAUGAGCAGAAACUGAAAUACAGAAAAUUCUUUCAGAACACAUGAACAAGCUUCUUUGCUGGGAGGGAGACUGCAUACCCUAGAGAGGUUGUGAAGAUGCUUAAAGCCAUCUGGAUGCAGUUCUGGGUAAUGUGAUCUAGAGGAUCAUGAUUGAUUGAAAAGAGAAGACAGAAUAAUCACCAGAAGUUUCUUCCAAUCUCGGUCAUUUUGUAAUUCAGUGAUUAUUUCUACCUCAUACGACAAAAUAUAUAUCCUGAUAAUUCCCUUGCAGCUGUAAUGAUGCAAUUUUGGCCCAGGUUUAUGCCUCAGGCUUUACUGCUUCAUUCAUUUGCUCGUGGUUUGUAUUACUGCUGAUGAAAAUGUAUGCUUUUCAAAUGGUAAUCAUUUGAAUAAUUCUAACAGGUUUCAUUUGAAAAAGAUAAUACUAUUAAUACAGUAAGUGGUAGUUGGUUAAUGCUAAUUUAGUAAAAAAUGAUUCCUGAUAUUGUUCCUGAAAAUUAAACACAGGUUUUUCUUAAUAAUAUUUAAACAAAAUUUGUCUGGAAAUCCAACAGGAAAUUUUACUAUAACAAUUUUCUUUUACAAAAACAGAACUAAUACUUUGUGGACUUCCCAAUUAGUUCAGCCAUAUUAGUCUCUCCUGACCCCCAGGAGACAAAGCCAAUAAAUUCUCUGAGAUUCCUGCA
ensembl:lncRNA